GUUAAGACAAAAACAUGCCUGGGUUAAGUGCAACCACAGGCUUCAAUAAUCAAGGCUUAUCAGUUUGAGUGAUUCCCAGAAGGGUGUACAACUGGGGAGAGUUUGUCCUAUGAGUUGGGCUUACUUUAUGUUUGCUCCUGGAACCACAAAGCUCUUGACUGGUAGCAGCUACAUUUCAUGCUGGCCAGCAUCUCUACAUCCAAGAAGCAUUGGAGGAUUUAUUUCUUUGAAGUCUAUGAACUAUAUGAAACUUAUUGAUCUACCCGUUUAUUGA
rnacentral:lncRNA from 11 species